UACGAAGGGGGCUAGCGUUGCUCGGAAUCACUGGGCGUAAAGGGUGCGUAGGCGGGUCUUUAAGUCAGGGGGGAAAUCCUGGAGCUCAACUCCAGAACUGCCUUUGAUACUGAGGAUCUUGAGUUCGGGAGAGGUGAGUGGAACUGCGAGUGUAGAGGUGAAAUUCGUAGAUAUUCGCAAGAACACCAGUGGCGAAGGCGGCUCACUGGCCCGGAACUGACGCUGAGGUGCGAAAGCGUGGGGAGCAAACAGG
rnacentral:rRNA from 1 species